CUUCUGUGAUGACAUCCGCUUUGAGCCAUCGUAUCUGGGCCACUGACCCGCUGUGAUGCGGCUGAGGAGCUGAGAUG